rnacentral:rRNA from 1 species
AUUGAACGCUGGCGGCAUGCCUUACACAUGCAAGUCGAACGGCAGCACGGGAGCAAUCCUGGUGGCGAGUGGCGAACGGGUGAGUAAUAUAUCGGAACGUGCCCAGUCGUGGGGAUAACGUAGCGAAAGCUACGCUAAUACCGCAUACGAUCUAUGGAUGAAAGCGGGGGAUCGCAAGACCUCGCGCGAUUGGAGCGGCCGAUAUCAGAUUAGGUAGUUGGUGAGGUAAAGGCUCGCCAAGCCGACGAUCUGUAGCUGGUCUGAGAGGACGACCAGCCACACUGGGACUGAGACACGGCCCAGACUCCUACGGGAGGCAGCAGUGGGGAAUUUUGGACAAUGGGCGCAAGCCUGAUCCAGCAAUGCCGCGUGCAGGAUGAAGCCU